AAAAAAUGAGAAUGUGUGUUUGGAAGAGAACAUUAAGGGCAUAGCCAGAUGACCAUCUGAUAAGGGGAUUUGUGUGGGUGUGAACCACAGUCACAACCAGCUGUCCCGGCAGGAACACUCAGCUUGAACCAAAGGUGGGAGAGAGGGGAAGGAAGUGAGUUUGGCCGUCUGACCUCUUGGGUUGUACCGAGCAGGACCAGGGAGCUAUUUGGCUGUGAACAUGCACUAUUCUUCAAGACAAGGGAAGAAGGACCCAGAAGGUGAUUUAGAGUCCAUCAGGGGCUCAAGCCAAAGAAGAUGAUUCUUGAGCCUGAAGAUUUAACAUUGUUUGCCCUAUUGGGGUCCAGGCUCCAUGGGACCUGUUACCCUUUUCUUCCUUCCCAUUUCCCCCUUCGGAAUGGGAAAGUCUGUCAUAUGGCUCUCCCACCAUUGUAUUUUAAACGCAUGUAACUUGUUCCAUUUUACAGGUUCACAGCUAGGGAGGAAGUAAACUUUGAGUGUCACCCGUAUCUGAUUUAGAUGAUGUUUAGAUGAGACUUUGGACUUUAGACUUUAGAGCUGAUGGCAGAACGAGCCACCACUUUGGGGUUGGAGGGGUGAAAUGAAUGUGUUUUGCACAUGAGAAGGACGUACAAUUUCGGAGUCAGGAAUAGAAUGUUAUGGGCCGAUUGCAUCUCCCCAGAGUUCCUAUAUAGAAAUUCUAACCCUGGUGUGGUGGCGCUAGGAGGCAGGGCGUUUGGGAGGUGAUUAGGUUGUGGCCCUCAUGAUGGGGUCCUCUUAUGAAGGAGACCCCAGAGAGCAUGCUGUCACUUUUGCUCUGUCUGCCACAUGAGGGUGCAAGAAGAAGACAGCCGCGAGCAAACCAGGAAGAGUGUCCUUGCCAGAACCCGACCCUGCUGCCACCUUGGCCUCCAACUUCCAGCCCCUA
rnacentral:lncRNA from 1 species